rnacentral:piRNA from 1 species
UGAAGAGAAGUGAUUGAGGGCUAUUGUGGA